UUUGGCCCUCCUGGGGGCAGGGCCCGAUAGGGCACAGCUCUGGCCCUGUGGUAAGGAAGGGAGGGUUUGCAGUGGAGAGGCAACAGUUCAACAGCCAGCACAUGCAUGCACGUCCUUAUUCUACCAAAUACCGACGGUGAUGCCUGCCAACCAUUUCCCCAGCUCUCAGCAACAACCCUAAAGUGACAGAGAAAUAUCUGUGGUUUCUAUUGGUGCUGAGGUCACACAGACUUCUAAUGCUACUGAAGGUUUUUGCCGGCAUUCAUAAUGGAAGUGAAACCACGUAUAAAGAUGCAGCAGAUUUGUAAUAAAAGAAGACCCAGCCCUCAGCUGAAGAAGUUAGGCUAAUCCGUGUGGGGGUUUCAUUUCACCUGAAGAGAAGGUCCCUCCUUCACUGUCUCACAAAGUGAAAGAAAGCACAAUGUGUGCACCAGCGUGGAAAUUGAGGCCCGGUGAGUCACCUACUGUAGUUGAGGCAGCUUCCGUUCAGCUCGGCGGGACCUCCAGCUCAGCGUGAUGGGCUGUCCGUAUUGCUGGCUCUGUCCUCCCCGACGCCUGGCUUUCACAAGACAAAUAAACAUUUUCCCUUCUUCUUAAAAUCACAGCCAGGAAGGGGCCUCCUAGUACAUCUGGCCUAGGGCCAUGCUUCCCAGCAGACCAGUGUCAUUAUCUCAAGCUUGACCAGUGACCUGCCCAAGGCCACACAGCCAAGGGACACACCGAGGUGUCGGGGCACUGACGUCCGCAGGACGACCUCCUGUUGACCGAUACUGCUUUCCCCUCUGCCAGCUGUGUUCUCAUGACAGCAGAUAGCUUUAUUUGGGACAUUUCAGACGUUUUCCUCUCUGCGAAAUAUCCAAUUGACAAAUCAUCAUGAGAAUAUGCAUUACGUUUUCCUUUCUAAAAUUAUAACUAUCUCCCACCAUUUGUCAAAUGCCCAAGAACACAAGAAAACCGACUCCUCCCAGCUGGUUUUCAUUAGAUGAUUUGGUGUCUAAUAUUCAAAUUUGUCCAAAGACGGUCCCAAUCUUCUGCCAGAAGCUGACUCAAGCUGAUCCUCCCCAAAGCGAUGUGCGAGGCUUUAUGUCACGUGCACACAUCCCACACAUGGACGGAAAUGGAGACCUGUCAGGCUUCUGCUACUCAGCCACUGUUUCCUAGGAAUGAGCUCAUGGAACAGCUGGUCCAUGUUUAAUGACACUGUCAUUUUUACAGGGAGGAGUGUGGUUAAGCAUUUACCCAGGGUGGAGGCAUCACUGUGGUUCUACUGAACUCCAGCUUUUAGCACUCACUCCUCUGCUCAACAAACCAUGACGGCCUCAAUAUCAUAUAAGAGAAAGCCCAGCAGAAAUCUCCAUUUUAGGGUUAUCAAGCACCUGGGCAGGCAUAUUUCUUUAAAGACAUGAGGGAGAUAUUCGGUUCCUAAUCUAAACUGCCGAAAAAAAUAUUUGCAACAGCUGUGAAAAAGGUUAAUAAGCAAUCCACAAAUCAACAAGAUUAUAAAUAUCAGCACUCACUCUAAGACAUGUUUUGACAAUUUGAAAAAGAACUUCAGAUGACUAAGAAUUAGUUAGCUGCCAGUUUUUAGCUGUCAAAUUUACAAAGCUGAGAUAAUCACAGUAUUUAAUCCUGUGAUGAGAAAACACUCUCAGACAACACAAAUGAAAGUGUAAACUGAUACACCCUUUCAGGAAAGCGACUUGGAAACAAGCUCCUCAUAACGGUCCUUAACCGUGUUUAUAUGCUUUGUAUUUAAAUUGCACUUCUAAUAUUCGAAUUUAAGGAAAUAAUUUAAAGUACAAAAACUUCACUCUAAAAGAUGUUCACUGCAAUGUUAUUCACCAUAGUAAACAAACACAAAAGCCUGAGUGUCCAGCAACACGGAAAUGAUGAUGUGAUGGUGUGUCCUCAAAGCUAUAUUGUGUGGCCACUAAAACAUUUUUACAGAGCAUUUGAUGCAAGAGUUAUGUUUAUUUCUUUCCUUAAAAAAAGAUUUAAAAAUGCACUAUUUAGAGACACACAAUUGAGACUAUGUUAAAAAAAAAAGUCACAGAUAAAAGAAUGGAGAAAAACAAAACCAAAUGUUAACAGGUAUUAUGCUUGGUCAAGUAUGAGGUAUAAUUUUUAUUUUCUACUAUU